AUUGAACGCUGGCGGCAGGCCUAACACAUGCAAGUCGAACGAGUGGCGGACGGGUGAGUAAUGUCUGGGAAACUGCCUGAUGGAGGGGGAUCACUACUGGAAACGGUAGCUAAUACCGCAUACCAUCGGAUGUGCCCAGAUGGGAUUAGCUAGUAGGUGGGGUAAAGGCUCACCUAGGCGACGAUCCCUAGCUGUUCUGAGAGGAUGACCAGCCACACUGUAACUGAGGCACGGUCCAGACUCCUACGUGAGGCAGCUGUGGGGAAUAUUGCACAAAGGGCGCAAGCCUGAUGCAGCCAUGCCGCGGGUAUGAAGAAGGCCGGCGGGUUGUAAAGUACUUUCAGCGGGGAGGCGUUACCCGCAGAAGAAGCACCGGCUAACUCCGGGCCAGCCGCCGCGGUAAUAC
rnacentral:rRNA from 1 species